rnacentral:tmRNA from 1 species
GGGGCUGUUUGGUUUUGACAGCAAGUUGAAAGGGUAUGUAAGCAUGCCGAGCCGGGAGAUCACAGCUCGUAAAUCUCGGAUCUCAAAAAGUAACUGGCGAAACUAAUUACGCUCUCGCUGCUUAAUCGAAAUAAAGUAGAUUAAGCUUUAUCCCUGCACAAGGUGUGGGGACGAGACAUCUCCCAGGCGCCCUCUCCUCGAGGCAGCCUGAUGUGGAGGUGCAGCAAAAUCGAGGAUAGUUGCGUUUAGCCUUGUAAACGCAAUGAAAAUCAUAAAGGAUAAGGUACAGGUCGGCAGCUUCGGCCUUGCCUGUACACGAAAAAUCAAGCGAAGCUAAGCAUGUAGAAAACAUAUCGGUUCCUUGUUUGGACGAGGGUUCAAAUCCCUCCAGCUCCACUA